rnacentral:rRNA from 2 species
GGAAACUGGGAAACUUGAGUGCAGAAGAGGACAGUGGAACUCCAUGUGUAGCGGUGAAAUGCGGAGAUAUAUGGAAGAACACCAGUGGCGAAGGCGGCUGUCUGGUCUGUAACUGACGCUGAGGCUCGAAAGCAUGGGUAGCGAACAGGAUUAGAUACCCUGGUAGUCCAUGCCGUAAACGAUGAAUGCUAGGUGUUGGAGGGUUUCCGCCCUUCAGUGCCGCAGCUAACGCAUUAAGCAUUCCGCCUGGGGAGUACGACCGCAAGGUUGAAACUCAAAGGAAUUGACGGGGGCCCGCACAAGCGGUGGAGCAUGUGGUUUAAUUCGAAGCAACGCGAAGAACCUUACCAGGUCUUGACAUCUUUUGAUCACCUGAGAGAUCAGGUUUCCCCUUCGGGGGCAAAAUGACAGGUGGUGCAUGGUUGUCGUCAGCUCGUGUCGUGAGAUGUUGGGUUAAGUCCCGCAACGAGCGCAACCCUUAUGACUAGUUGCCAGCAUUUAGUUGGGCACUCUAGUAAGACUGCCGGUGACAAACCGGAGGAAGGUGGGGAUGACGUCAAAUCAUCAUGCCCCUUAUGACCUGGGCUACACACGUGCUACAAUGGAUGGUACAACGAGUUGCGAGACCGCGAGGUCAAGCUAAUCUCUUAAAGCCAUUCUCAGUUCGGACUGUAGGCUGCAACUCGCCUACACGAAGUCGGAAUCGCUAGUAAUCGCGGAUCAGCACGCCGCGGUGAAUACGUUCCCGGGCCUUGUACACACCGCCCGUCACACCAUGAGAGUUU